rnacentral:rRNA from 1 species
CAGUAGCCGCGGUAAUACAGAGGUCUCAAGCGUUGUUCGGAUUCAUUGGGCGUAAAGGGUGCGUAGGUGGCGGUGUAAGUCUAACGUGAAAUCUCGGGGCUCAACCUGGGAAUGGCAAUGGAUACUGGCAAGCUAGAGUGUGUCAGAGGAUGGUGGAAUUCCCGGUGUAGCGGUGAAAUGCGUAGAGAUCGGGAGGAACAUCAGUGGCGAAGGCGGCCAUCUGGGACAACACUGACGCUGAGGCACGAAAGCGUGGGGAGCAAACAGGAUUAGAUACCCCUGUAGUCCCUGUCUCUUAUAU